AGGAUGCCAGGGAUGAUGGGAAGCCUGUUCUUGUUUAUCGGUUUGUACGGAACUUCACCCGCGGUAGAGUACGGCCUGAGAAUUUUGUUCCAGCACCGGUGUGAGGUUUGGAGUGCAUAAUGAGGAGAAAUAAAAACAGAAAGAUCUCCAGAAAGAAGCCAUGGUAAGAUUCAAGGUUUCACAGUCCAAGCUAAUGCCUGUGGACACUUGACCAAGUGAUCUGAGAAAAUUGGAUUUCUGGCAAAACAAGUGUACCUAGACUCAGGCAAGGGUGGAGAACAGAGGGCGACUAGAUUAAAUGGAAAGAAUGCCCAGGCAUCCCAUUGCCUCCCUUUGACGUUCCAGAACUUCAUCAAGACAGUGAUGAGCUACAUGUACACCUGGAGGAGGACCAUGCAGAAUACCAUCCAGCGCCAUGAACACUAGUCAGUCAGUCAGUAAUGGUGGGCUUCUUGGUGUGCUCCAGCUCAAUUUUCUCAUGUUUGAUGAUUAGUUCAGGAUCAAGCUCAGAAGCGCACAGCUGCCAGCAAGCAGUCUACUACUGAACUGCACCAUCUCUCCAGCCUGUGCUUACUCUUGAAUAGCCCCAAAGUAGUCAAUGGGCUAUUUGGUACUGGACAACCAAUUGGAGUGUUGUUUGCGGGGGAGGACCACCUCUCCAGGUAGAAUCUAAACAUCAGAAAAUCAACAACCCAGUUAAAAUAAUCUAGAGCACUAACCAGAGCGUUCUCAGAAGAAGCACUACAAACGGCUAAGAAACACGAGACUGCUCAACAUCCUUUGCCAUCAGGGAAACACAGAAGCUCACUUUUCAGUUUUCAUCUUUCUGGAGUCAGAAUGGUUAUCGUCAAGAAUGCCAGUGACAUGGAUGUAGAGGACGGAUUCCUUCAUUGUCUAAGUCUCUGGAAAUAGUGCAGAAGAGUAGUCAGGGACUAAAAGAUGGAAGACAGAAAGGGCUGCAAAGUUCCAUCCUAGAGACUCAAUACAGCCAUUGCAAUGAUGAACUCACAAAAACUGCAUUUACCUGAACUUAGCCUGCUCAAGACAUUGAAAGUGUUUCAAAGUAGCUUUUCCUGUUGUGAAUGUACCUCUCAGCUAGUCUGGUUUCUGGUUCAGAGCUCUUAGGCACAGAGUUGUCUUGAACAUUUGCUUACAGGCACUUGUGUAGAUAUCAGCUGCUUUUUUUUGUUAAAUCUCUGAAAUAAAUGCCUAGGCGUUCAAUGGCAAUGUUAUAUCAGUAUGUAUUUAGCUUAGUUUUAAAAUAAGAAACUGUCAAAUACUUUUGUAGAAUUACUGGACCAUUUUACACCCCUGCCAACAAAGUAAGAUUGAUCCAGCUCCCCACAUUCUCAUAAACAUUUGUUUUUGUUUCUUUAAGAAGACAAGUUAACCAUUCCAUUUAUUGAGAAUUUACUUACCAUUCAGUGCAUUGCUUAGAUAUGUAGUAUUCAGUUUUUAGUACACAUACAAGGUUGUGUAUCGAUUACUACUAAUUCCAGAACAUUUCCAUUACCAUAGAAAAAGAAACCCAAUAUUCAUUUUCAUCUCUCCUCUAUGGACUUACCUAAUCUAGAUAUACCAAAUAAAUGGAAUUUUUAUAAAAUA
rnacentral:lncRNA from 1 species